rnacentral:misc_RNA from 1 species
UGGCAGCUUGACUCGAACUUGAGACACAAUCCAGUCUUCUGAUGAUUUAUUCUCGAUUGUUAGCAAAUGUUAUAGGGAUAGAAUGAUGGCUGCGAUUUAUUUUGUUGGUGCCAUCCUGAAAUGUCAAAAAAAGCAAGGACUCUGAUAAAUGAGCUGGUGGACGAGAACAUGACCUUACCGAGCAAUAACAGAGACCUAAGAUAUCAAGGAGGUGACUUGUUAUAAUUGCAGUGUUUGAACUUGAAACAGGGGUUCAUUAACCUUCUGCUACCUCACUAAGCCUGAG